rnacentral:tRNA from 1 species
GCAAAUUUAGUGUAACGGUAGCACAACAGUCUCCAAAACUGUU